GUCACCUAGGGACGCAGCAGUGGGGAAUAUUGGUCAAUGGUCGGGAGACUGAACCAGCCAAGCCGCGUGAGGGAUGAAGGUACAGAGUAUCGUAAACCUCUUUUGUCAGGGAACAAAGGCGGGGACGUGUCCCCGGAUGAGUGUACCUGAAGAAAAAGCAUCGGCUAACUCCGUGCCAGCAGCCGCGGUAAUACGGAGGAUGCGAGCGUUAUCCGGAUUUAUUGGGUUUAAAGGGUGCGCAGGCGGUCUGUUAAGUCAGCGGUCAAACCCCGGGGCUCAACCCCGGCCCGCCGCUGAAACCGUCG
rnacentral:rRNA from 1 species